rnacentral:rRNA from 1 species
CCUACGGGAGGCUGCAAUUAGGAAUCUUGCGCAAUGGGCGAAAGCCUGACGCAGCGACGCCGCGUGACUGAUGAAGUCUUUCGGGAUGUAAAGGUCUUUUGCAGGGGACGAAGGAAGUGACGGUACCCUGCGAAUAAGCUCCGGCUAACUACGUGCCAGCAGCCGCGGUAAUACGUAGGGAGCGAGCGUUGUCCGAAUUUACUGGGCGUACAGCGCGCGUAGGCGGGUUAUUAAGUUGGGGGUGAAAUGCCGAGGCUUAACCUCGGAACUGCCUCCAAAACUGGUAGCCUUGAGGUAUGGAGAGGGAAGUGGAAUUCCAGGUGUAGCGGUGAAAUGCGUAGAUAUCUGGAGGAGCACCCGUGGCGAAGGCGGCUUCCUGGCUAUAUCCUGACGCUGAGGUGCGAAAGCUAGGGGAGCGAACG